rnacentral:lncRNA from 1 species
AGUAGAUGGCUGGUGGUUGCUUAAAGCCUAUCCAAAGGAGGAGAGAUUCUAUACCAAAUAGAAAGAAUGAUAUAUAGAAUAAAAUCAUAAAAAAAAUAUCACCUUAACCCUAGCCCUAGCCCUAUUUAAGGAUCAAAAAACACCAGCAAAAGGGAGAGGAGAAUCAUCUUUGAAAGCUAGAAAUCAAGCAAGGAGAGUUUGGAGUAUCUGG